rnacentral:rRNA from 1 species
AGUGAACGCUGGCGGUAGGCCUAACACAUGCAAGUCGAACGGCAGCACAGUAAGCGCUUGCUCUUACGGGUGGCGAGUGGCGGACGGGUGAGGAAUACAUCGGAAUCUACUUUUUCGUGGGGGAUAACGUAGGGAAACUUACGCUAAUACCGCAUACGACCUACGGGUGAAAGCAGGGGAUCUUCGGACCUUGCGCGAUUGAAUGAGCCGAUGUCGGAUUAGCUAGUUGGCUGGGUAAAGGCCCACCAAGGCGACGAUCCGUAGCUGGUCUGAGAGGAUGAUCAGCCACACUGGAACUGAGACACGGUCCAGACUCCUACGGGAGGCAGCAGUGGGGAAUAUUGGGCAAUGGGCGCAAGCCUGAUCCAGCCAUACCGCGUGGGUGAAGAAGGCCUUCGGGUUGUAAAGCCCUUUUGUUGGGAAAGAAAAGCAGCAGGUUAAUACCCCGCUGUUCUGACGGUACCCAAAGAAUAAGCACCGGCUAACUUCGUG